rfam:Schistosoma rodhaini strain Burundi genome assembly, scaffold: SROB_scaffold0004002
GCACUGCUGAGGAGUCCCAUAAUAGGACGAAACAGAAGUCCAAUGC